GGACGUUUAGCUCAGCUGGUCUAGAGCGCACGCUUCACACGCGUGAGGUCACUGGUUCAAAUCCAGUAACGUCCACAA
rnacentral:tRNA from 1 species